GACGAACGCUGGCGGCGUGCUUAACACAUGCAAGUCGAACGAAGUGGCGAACGGGUGAGUAACGCGUAAUCAACUGCCCCCCUCUCUGGGAUACCAGUUGGAAACGGCUGCUAAUACCGGAUAGUGGGGGAUGCCUCGCGUCCUAUCUGCUUGUUGGUGGGGUAGUGGCCGACCAAGGCGACGACGGGUAGCCGGCCUGGGAGGGCGACCUGCCACAUUGGGCUGAGGUACGGCCCAAACUCCUACGGGGGGCAGCAGUGGGGAAUAUUGCACAAGGGGGGAAACCCUGAUGCAGCAACGCCGCGUGCGGGAUGACGGCCUUCGGGUUGUAAACCGCUUUCAGCCAUGACGCGGUAGUGGCAGAAGAAGCACCGGCUAACUACGUGCCAGCAGCCGCGGUAAUUC
rnacentral:rRNA from 1 species